AACGAACGCUGGCGGCAGGCUUAACACAUGCAAGUCGAACGCCCCGCAAGGGGAGUGGCAGACGGGUGAGUAACGCGUGGGAACGUGCCCUUCGCUUCGGAAUAGCCCCGGGAAACUGGGAGUAAUACCGAAUACGCCGUAUUGGGAAAGAUUUAUCGGCGAAGGAUCGGGCCGCGUUAGAUUAGCUAGUUGGCGGUGUAAUGGACCACCAAGACUACGAUCUAUAGCUGGUCUGAGAGGAUGGUCAGCCACACUGGGACUGAGACACGGCGCAGACUGCUACGGGAGGCAGCAGUGGGGAAUCUUGGACAAUAGGCGCAAGCCUGAUCCAGCCAUGCCGCGUGAGUGAAGAAGGCCUUAGGGUUGUAAAACUCUUUCGCCGGAGAAGAUAAUGACGGUAUCCGGAGAAGGAGCCCCGGCUAACUUCGUGCCAGCCGCCGCAGUAAAAC
rnacentral:rRNA from 1 species